CAAGGCUUGACAUCCUCUUGAAAGGCUUAGAGAUAAGUCCCCUCUUCGGAGCAAGGGAGACAGGUGGUGCAUGGUUGUCGUCAGCUCGUGUCGUGAGAUGUUGGGUUAAGUCCCGCAACGAGCGCAACCCCUAUUAUUAGUUGCCAGCAUUUCGGAUGGGCACUCUAAUGAGACUGCCGGUGAUAAACCGGAGGAAGGUGGGGAUGACGUCAAAUCAUCAUGCCCCUUAUGCCUUGGGCUACACACGUGCUACAAUGGUCGGUACAACGGGGUGCGAAGGAGCGAUCCGGAGCGAAUCCCAAGAAGCCGAUCUCAGUCCGGAUUGCAGGCUGCAACUCGCCUGCAUGAAGUUGGAGUUGCUAGUAAUCGCGAAUCAGAACGUCGCGGUGAAUGCGUUCC
rnacentral:rRNA from 1 species